GCAAACCAAGAUUUCAACUAAUUGUUCACCGCAGAAAAUAGAAAAGCCAGCUGUACCUGCGAAACUUGUGAACACAGAGCCCUUGAUAUAAGAUUCAGUGUUUAAAAGACAUGGCACAUGUACCCACAGAUGACAUUGGUGCUCCCGAAUCCUUGGCAAAAACAGUUCUUGACUUCCAGAAUUCUCUCUCUUUGUUAUGGGUCACGAUGAAACAGCACAAUUUUCAGGAGUCCACAAUUCCAGCGUGGCGAGGGGCGAUUGUCACGUUGUGAAAUAAAUUGUUUGCCUUUUGCUGAAUCGUCACCCCAUGAUAGCACCCGAGAGCUGACUGUCAGCUUCUAUUUGCUUUGCUAAAAAAGGAUAUCUCACCAAAUUAGCCUUUAAUGAUACUUCUCCAAAUGGGGUGUCUUACGUGAAUUAACGAGGCCGGAACGCUGAAUGUUGCACUGAGAUUCGGAGCUGUAAUCGAGGCGGUGAAGCUCUAUGUUAAAAUUACGGAAUUGUUAAGUGUGGAAAAUCAGACAGAAUUUAGUGCUGUAACGCAUGCAAGCAUUCGCAACAGUACAGGCAUUUCUUAUAUUCAGCCCUCUGAAACCGUGCAUGUAAAUAUGAAUACAUUUAGCAAACUUCCCCCCCCCCCCCACCGAGUCUGGAAACAGGCAAAGUAGUAUGGGGAAGAGAUUAUAAAUCAGUACUUUGCAGUGAGAAGUCGUCAUUAAUUCGGCAGAGAAUCACAGCCUCCUUUUAUAUUCUCCCCACCACCCCCCAACCAAUAAGGAAAAAAACCCCAACUCAACGUGGAACUGCUAAAUACACUGAAUACAUUCGGGCUUUUCUCCUUUCGCCUGUGUGUGAAAUUUCAUUAAGCAGUUGCUAUUUUUUCCCUCCAAAGAAGUGGGGAUUUAGGAAAAAAAAAAUAGCAACUUUGAAUUUAGUUCUUUAUGAUACACAAGCCAUGGGGAAAAAAUGUUUUGAUCAAAAAGCCUGGGGAAAAUAUUUAGAGGUGAGACUGCAAUGAAACUAAUACUUCCUUAAAAAUAAAACAUGCGUUUGUGACUCAAACCAAUGAGAGUUGGAAAAGUCCCUACAAGGGAGCACUCCCUCUAUUUCUAGCUUCCCAGCACAACCUCUCCUCCCCCCACCUUAUAUUAAGAACAGAAAAGAGAGUCUUGCCGGAUAAACGUACACUUCCUAGCAGGAGAUCUGCUCCCCCUGGUUUAAUUGGGAUUGAGGAGUAAAUACGGCUAUUUUAGGCAGGAGGAUAGAAAUUAGUUUGAUGAAGAGUAAAGCGAACUCAUGCCUUAGAAUCACUUGCCAGAAAAGAAGUGUAUACACAAACAGAAUAAAACAUUGUUGAUCAGAGUUCAUUUCAGCUAGAAGUUUCUUUCCUGCCCAGCGUCCCAAACUCGGGAAAAUGUAAAAAGUUCUUUUGGCUUCUUGUAUUUGGAGCAAGGUGAAAAUAAACCCCCAGGAAAAACACAGACACAAACAUGAUAGAAACGACCCGAGACUUUUCAGGCCUACUGGCCACGCAGGCUUUUUGGACAAAAGCGUGGAUGUUGGAGAGAGUUUGGAAGGAACGGACUUUGGGGUCCCUUCGUCCCCCGGAGCUCCCCAGCCCUCCUCGUGGUCUCUUUUCAAAGCAGCCACUCAUGGGAUGCUGUGUUCUCAGGGUCCUUGGUUGUAGGGGGCAUGAGCACAGAUUUACAAAGCUUUAAGGUUUCUGAUUUUACCUCAUCUUCCUUAUAGAAAACAUCUGAGCUUAAGGAACCACAGAGCAAACUUUCUCAGUGCCCCUGCAUGGCUACACCACCACGUGAAAGAGAGACACACCUAGAAAAUCAAAACUGGUGUUGGUGUCACAAGAAAGCCAUUUAAAAAAUGCGUUGGGGAGAGGGGGGCCGAUUUCGCCUUUCCUGGACGAAUUGGCCCCGGCAGGGAAAGGAGUGCUGGCUGCAGCUGGAAGUUCGCUGUGCGGCCUGGGGUGGAACUUUCUCGGAGACGUGCAGAGAACUGGGCUCUGUCGGGAUCAUGCAUGAGAUCGGCACCCAGGCCUGUUGACAUCUCUGCCAGAGACAGCCUGGACCGCUGCCAGCCCAGGCCUGAACGUGGCCUUAGAGCCACCCCCACAGCCCCAACAAGCCCCAGACAGGUGCCCAAGGGUCUCUCCUCCUGGAGCCCGGCCCACAGCAUGUCUUGGCUAGAAGGGGGAUGUUUGGCUCCCGUGGCAGCCUCCCCAGAGACGCGGCAGGGUUUACUAUCCCGGUUACCCUGUGGGCUCUGGUGAGGAGGAACCCCACUUUGCUAAGCAGUGCCUCCCAGAUGCUCCGAGGGAGACAGAUGUGGCCGUCCUGCGAGCUCAGAGCAGAUCCGCCUGUGCAAGGGCAGAUGUGAGUCUAGAAGGCUCUGGAGCAGAGCUGUACAUUUGCAGCCCAGGCUAGAGCUCUCUCCGCUCUCCAACAACAGGGCUGCGAUCCCUCCUUUUGGGAUGGGCCGAGGGGGCGUGGCCCGGGGCCAGCAACAGAGCACGUACACAUCGGAGCUCCUGUGUGCAACUCCCCUGAGUGUGUCUGCGCCUCUUUCCAGCCAGCGGGGCUCCCACCCACCCAGCCAGGGAGCUGAGCCCUCUUCUGUCAUCAGGCAGUGAGGAAAACCAGGGCCAGGAGGGCAGGGGUGCAGCCUUGAAGUGGGAGAAGGCAUGGAGGCCAUCAGAGGGCCUGCUGGGCAGAUGAGGGGACCUGCAUCCGAGCCACCCUGGGGGGCGGCCGGAGAGAGGACGGGGUGGGCAUUCGGGGUAGCAUGCAGCCAGCAGCCGGCUCUGCCCCAGCCCCAGAAUGUGCCCGCUCAGGGAAGCUGCGCCCAGCCCUGAGUCAGCCGAUCCCACGGGACUCCCACUUGGCCCCAAUAACUGGACUCCAGGCCACCAGAACGCCUCGUGGGUUCCUGAUUGUAUCAGAAUGGCAUUAAAAGGUCCAGACCGGGCACUCGUAGGCCAUGCCAUAUUUAGCCUCAGGUUCACCCGGAGAAUAUUUUAGGUGCUGCUUGAAAGAGGAGAUCUCGGCCCAUUGCCGGCUGUCACAUGGCGAGUGUAGACUCGCUCCCUCGCAGGCCUGGUGGAGGUGGCUGGGUGCUCACUGGCACAGAUGCCCGCAGUCCCUGCCAGAGCUUUGGGGCCAUGAGACAGGUGCCAAGGAGCCAGCGAGUGCCUGGGUAGCCGGUUCUGUGCCGGGAAGGCUGUUCACCCCGUUUUCGUCCUGACGGCGAUAAGCUCGCUCCAUUCACAGGACUCACAGAGGCUGUUUCAGGCCCUCUCUCCUCUCGAUGGCCCAGUGCGAUAUGCCAGCUUGCUGAGUGAGCAGCUUCCUCCUCCGGUGUCAGCAACUGCGGAGGGGUUAACCCUUUCAAGGCCCGGGGUGCUGGCUGGCAUGGGGGUCCCGCCUCCAGGGCCCUUGAAGGCCACAUGCCAGGGGGAGCCACUGCCCUGGAUGCCUUAAUCCUCCAUCGUUAGUGGCCGGACCAGAGAGAGGGCACCCUGGACCUUAACCGUGAUUUCCUCCUUUGGCCCCAGCAGCAGCACUAACCACCAGGCUGCCCUACCCAAACCUUCGCCCUUCAGCCGUGGAAACAGCUGCUUGCUUUGCAGAUACUUUCCCCUGGGUUUCCAGGUUCAUUAACUUUCCUGCAUUCCGGAGGAGGAGGUAUUGAUGGAUUCCGGGUCCCCUUAGAUCAUUAAUGAGAGUUCGGAAUCAUCGUUCGGGGUCUUGGGGAAAUGUCCCAGGUCCCUAAGAGUUGCCUGGUGUUAGGGAAUCAGCCUUGGAAGCUGGUUUUCCAGGUCUUGGUUGUCUUGGCACAGCGGAGGCGGCCGUAUCAAAGCCACUGUGUGGAGACACAUUGAGCCAAUGAUCAGCCAGUAAUUCUCAGCCUUGGGGGAGCCUGGUGGGGCCGCCAUACACUGUGAUAGCAUUGCUUGGUUUAAAGGUUCCUCUAACUUUGCGCACUUUUUCCUUUUUAGUUUUGGCUCUUGGGACUCUGAGAGCCACCCCUUCCUGCCCGGCUGGCUCGUUACCGCAGGGAAAAUGAGGGACUUUUGGGGGCAGAUGUGUUUCCAUUCCACUAUCAUAAUGCCCCUAAAAAUCCUUAUUGCUCUUGCAGUAUUCUUCGGGGGUCCCUGGGCCAGCCGGGCGCGCGGGGAAGACGGCAGCUCUGAGUGCCUCCAGCAACUAGAAGAAGAGAGAAAGAAGUUCCCCCACAUUCUCCCUUCUGGUCCCGGGUCCAUCUCCCCUCAGAGCUCAGAACUGUUCACUGCCCGAAAAGUAAAAAGACACCAUCCACAGACACUGGUGGCUCAACAUGCCUUUUGCCCUCCGGGGGCAGAAUGUUGGAGAUCAGGCCUGGGAACAGCAGGGCAGCUGUGGCUGCUGUCAGCGUUUGCUCUGGGGGUUUGUCGGGGGAGGUGGGGAAAGUGGAACAAGUGUUACCUGUUUGACGAGGCAGGCGUAUUUCACCGUUCAGCCUGGUCCUUCCAGUGGGGCCUCUGGGAUCCUCACCUUGGCAGGGGGCCCUGGGCAGUCCUGGCUUGCUCACCUGCUCCUGAGACAGGCCACUUUCCCACUCUCUGCCUCGGUUUCCCUGUCUGCCAAGGGAGGGGCAGCACCCCAUGCUCUUGGCCUCAAAGGGUUCUUGGUUGUACCCAACAUUAUAAUGAGCUCAAGUGAUACGCAAGCUCUGAAGCUGCUUGGAAAAUGGGGAAGUCAAGUUAUUAAACAUGGGAGGUGUUGGUGCUAAUGUUUACUAAUACACACCUAACGUGCUGAGACAGUUCAGACAGGAGGGGAGACUGUCGCCCCACAGUGUAAGCACCGGUUUCUGGAAUCAGCCAGUCAGAACUCUGAGACUCUUUUGCUGUGUCACCCCAGGCAAGUGACUCAACCUCUCUGGGCCUCCAUUUCCUCACACAUGAAACCCACGUUUUGGAACAGAAGUUUGCCAAGUCUGAUAUGCACAUCUACUCAAUGAGUUUAAGUGGUACCUGGCUAAAGAUGGAAAUUAUUCUCAUAGGUAUUUCUUUGUACAGCUUAUCUCUAUUUAUGGCAAGCGGUUUGUUUUCGGUUUAGGGUAGGGAUAGACAGGCCCUUUUUUAUACCAAUUUAUGCAGGUAAAGAUAGAUGAGUUGCUGGAAAGAAAAGCAUUAAGCAAAUAAUAAUACAGGUGGCCUGAGGAUGGGGCAGAAAUCAAGAUGCCAGUUUGCAAAGUUUCAUAGGUCGGCUUACUUAAGAAUUCUUGUUUGUCUUGGGAUUUUUGCAUCCACAUAGUUGGCGUGGGGAGGAGAUGGGUGGGUUGCUAAUUCAAAUCUCUGGAGGGCUCCACCAUGGCAGUCUGAGUGUCACAAGUCUUCCCUUCUCGGGGGGAUGGGAGGGGGCCCACCUCUCUGCUCACCGACGCCAGGGAGACCCCUCAGACCUCCAGCCCUGCACCGACCCCUAGCUUUGACUUGUCUCAUUUUAGGAUCACGAUGACCCAGUGCCCUCCUUCCUGGCCAGGGCACCUCUCUGGGCCUCAGUUUUCUCAGUGAAAUGGGGAGAAUAACAAACUCUGUCCCAUAGCUGUGUGUGAAGAUGGAGGGGUUAACAGGGCUCCAUCGGGCGCUGAUCCUUCACAAACAGCACCCACUCGGAGGGCAGUGGGCCCCAGCGGCGCUGGACACGCGGGGGGCGCUCCUUCCACAGGCCACCCUGCGCCACCCGGCACCAGCUCCCUGCCCACCCCCUGGGAGGGUGGCUUUGCAGGGAAACAGCAGGCAGCCAGCAGGGGCGGACUCUGGUUUCACUUUCUGCUGUGUCAUGGAGUGGGGGGUGGCAUCGGGGCCCAGCUGGCCAGCUGGGGCGGGCACCGAGAGGCCAGCAGACAGCUGCUGGCCCAGCUGCCAGAGCACAAGCCGCGCCCCCCUGCAGCCUGCCAGGGUGGGGGCUGGGUCCUCGGGUGCCCCUUAAGGGCCUCUCCUCCCGCACGGUGGGGAGAACCCCAGGCGAGAAAAGCCAGGAGCGGGUGAGAUCGUUUCUUGAGCUGUGGGAUCCCCCAAAAGCAACUUCUCAAGUCACGCAGCCUUGAAGUUCUGAGAAGUGCAGCUGUGGGUUCUGGAUCAGGGUGCGCUGGCUGGACACCUGCUCCCUGCCUCCCUUCACUGGGCACAUGGUGGGUGAGGGCCUACUGUGUGCUAAGCAGUGUGCCAGGUGCCGGAGGUACAGCAGGGAGCAGGACAGCCCCUGCCCUCAUGGGGCUCCCAGUUAAGUCUGGGAGAUGGACAAAAGAGCGAGCAAGAAAGAAUCCCGCGUUAUGGGGGAAAUUCCAGCCUGAACGUCUGGUGCUAGCAUCUCAGGGCAGGGGCGUGCCUGCGUAUGCACGUAUGUGUGUCAGCAACGUGUCACCUCCUGGGACACAACGGUAGGUUAAGAAUACAGACCCAGGGGCCAGAGGUCCUGUGUUUGAAUUUCCACUGACUGGUGCGUGACCUCAGGCAAGUGGUCUCUCCUCUUUGGGCCUCAGUUUCCCCGUUUGUAGGUGCAAGAAUGAGAGUAUUUACAUGGUAGGGCUGCGGCGAGGAUGAAAUAAACGAGCGUCCGUAGAGAAUGGAGGACAGCGCCUGGCAUCGACCGUGUGCUGUGUAAGUCUUAGCUGUUCUCUGAGAAUAAUAAAUGCGCGCUCUUGUAAGAUGAAAUGCGGCCGUCACGGCGGGCUGAGCACAGCGGGAGUGCUGUGGGGUCCAUCCCCUCUGCCAUGCGCUUGCCAUGCUUUCUCAGGAGCCACAACCACCCCUCCGAUGCCCUUACCAUCUUGUUCAGAUGAGGAAACUGAGGCUCAGGCAGAUAAAGAGGCCUGUCCCAGGUCCCCAGCUGGAAAGGAGUUGGGCCACCAUGCAGGGCCGGCUUUGCAGUGGUGGGCCCUGCACUUGGUUUAAUGCUCUGCUGUUGUCUUAAAUUCUCAAUCAUUUUGGAAACAGGAGCCCCGAGUUUUCAUUUUGCAAAUUAUGGAGCCCGUCCUCCCCAGACCGGACUUAGUCCAAAGCCAUCACUCUUAACGACUCCCAUCCAUAUGUCAUACAGCCGGCUCCAGAAUUUUCCAGAUCAUCGACACAGGGCUUAUGGAGGGACUGAAAUCCUGGGAAGAAUAUGAAGCCUUUCUCCUGGGCUCAACUGCCCAAGUGCCUGUUUGUCUGUGGCCCCAGUGGAAGGCAGGCGGGGAGGGCAGGGCUGGGACUCAUUCAUUGCCAUGUCCCCAGGGCCUUGCUUGUAUUAGCUGCUCAGUUAAUAGUUGUGAAAACAGGUGAACGGGAGGCUGCUGUCUCUCAGAAACAAACCUACGUAAAUGACCCCUUCCAGGAGAGCGGGUCGUCAGGGGUGCAGUGUACACUCUGGCCGGCCCAGCAGGCUUCCGGACAACCCCUGAAGGCGUGGAGAUGCACGGCUCUCUUCCCCAUGCCCCAAACCUGUGUGCCAACACCUUUAACCGAUUACUGUUUAACAGGUUCUGGUGGGGAGCCCGGAGACAACAGAAAUAUUUAAAGACAUGCGGGCCUGGAUUCCUGAGUGCCUGGUGUUAAGAAAGAUGCAGAGUUCAGCCAAAAGAAUACGCAGGUUGUAGUUCUGGGCCAGUUCAAGUCCCAGCCCAGGGGCGGGGGCACAGUUUCUUGGACUGUUAAAUGGUAGGGUUUGGGGGCCAGCCUGGUGGUGUAGUGGUUAAGUUUGAAUGCUCCGCUUCAGCAGGUGGGGUUUCCCAAUUCGGAUCCUGGGUGUGGACCUACACAGCAGUCAUCAAGCCGUGCUGUGGCAGCAUCCUACAUACAAAAAAUAGAGAAAGAUUGGCACAGAUGUUAGCUCAGGGCCAAUCUUCCUCACCAAAAAAAAAAAAAAAAAAAAUGAUAGGGUUUGGAUUAAAGGUCCUUUUUCCUCUGAAAUUAGAGUUCUUCUACAUUCUCAAAGCUCCAAAUGAUAAAUAUGACUAAGAAGCAAAGAAUCAUCUCAAAGCCUUUAAAAUAUUUAUAACAAUAAUAAACAUUUGUAUGUUUUUGCCUGCUGAUUUCACAGGCUGUAUCUCCAUUGCUUCAGAUAACCCUGUGAAGUAGGAAUUACCCUCAUUUUCUAACAACCAUCAUAACCACCAGCAUAUAUUGAAUGCUGUAUAUGGACUAGGCACUUGACACACAGGAAGUCAUUUUAGUUGCUCAAGUGACGUAUGAGGCAGGCACUGUUAUGAGCUACUGCCUACUUAAGAAACACGCCAAAGAGAGGAACUGACUUGUCUAAGGUCACACACCCGCCAGGUGAUGAGUUGGGGUUCAAGCCUGGAUCUUCCAUCUCAGGGGUCAGCCAACUUUUUCUGGAAAGGGCCACAUACUAAAUAUUUUAGGCGUUGCAGGCCGUGCAGUCUGUGUCACAGCUGUUCCACUCUGCUGUUGUAAUAAGAAAGCAUCCACAGAUAAUACGUAAAGGAAUGGACAUAGCUGUGUGUUCCAAUAAAACUUUAUUUACAAAAACAGGAAGUGGGCCAAGUUUGGCCCACAGGUUAUGGUUUGUCCACCCUUGUGGCAGAGGCCCAAAGCUGCCUUCCAAUUAGGAAGAACAUGGCCCUGGCAGUGUGAGUCACCUGGGAGGUGACUGAGUUACAUUUCAGAGCAGAGACCGCUGGCAUGCAGGGAGAGAGUGGAGGCGAGAGAGGACAUUUCCCAGAGGCAGGAGGCUGGAGCCCAGGGCUUCCUGGCAGGAGGGGUGGGGGAAGGCAUGAUUUUUUUUUUAAACAGUUUGAUUGAGAUAUAAUUCACUUACCAUACAAUUCACCCCUUUAAAGUGCAGAGUUCAUUGGCCUUGAGUAUAUUCACAGAGUUGUGCAACUGUCAUUAUAAUCAAUUUCAGAACAUUUUCAUCACCUCAAAAAGAAACCCUGUAACCUUUACAGCAGUCACCCACCCUAAUCGUUCUGUCUCUGUAGAUUUGCCUGUUCUGGAUAUUUCAUAUACAGUCACGUGUCGCUUAACGACAGGGAUACGUUCUGAGAAAUGUGUCAUUAGGUGAUGUCAUCAUUGUUCAAACAUCACAGAGUAUAGGUACACAAACCUAGAUGGCACAGCCCACUACACACCUAGGCUCUAUGGUACUGAUCUUACAGGCCCACCAUUGCAUAUGUGGUCUGUCAUUGACCAAAACAUCCUUAUGUGGUGCAUGACCGUAAAUGGAAUCAUACAGGAUGUGGUCCUUUGUGACUGGCUGGUUUUUUUCAAAUCUCUUUAUUGUUUUGUGUUUUUUUUGGUGAGGAUGCUUUGCCCUGAGCUAGCAUCUAUUGCCAAUCUUCCUCUAUUUUGUAUACGGGAUGCUGCCACAGCAUGGCUUGAUGAGCAGUGUGUAGGUCCGUGCCCAGGAUCUGUACCCACAAAUCCUGGGCCACUGAAGCAGAGCGUGCAAACUUAACCACAAUACCACCAGGGUCCCCUGGCUUUUUUCGCAUAGCGUUAUGUUCCCAAGGUUCAUCCAUAUUGUAGCACGUGUCAGAACUUCACUUCUUUAUAUGGCCGAAUAACACUCACGUUUUAUUUAUCCCUUUGUCACUUGAUAGACAUUUGGGUUGAUGAUAUUUUGGGCUAUUAUAAUAAUGCAGCUAUGAACAUUCAUGUGUGAGUUUUUGUGUGGCCGUCCAUUUUCAUUUCUCUUGAGUAUAUACCCAGGAGUGGAAUUGCUGGGUCAUAGGGCGACUCCAUUUUAACAUUUUGAGGAAGUGCCAGAGGCACGUUUUAUACUGUGUUUUUCAGCUUUGUAGGAUGGACUGAAAGUAGAGAAAAUACUGUGAGGAGCACCCCGUAGCCAUCAUCCAGGCUCAGCGAUGAUCGCCCUUCUUCUGGGCUUGUUUCACCCCCUCCCCUUCUCCACCGUUGUUACCCACUGAGUAGUUUGAAGCCGCUUCAAACCCUGCCCGUCUUGUUCGCUUGGCUCAGAGGUCAACUUUUGCUUUUGUUCCAAGUCGUCUACACCCAUAUUCUUGGGCAGAUGGAGUUUGGGGAGAAUGGAGGAGUUGGGGCAGAGUCGAGAGUGGGUCAGUGUGGGGUGGGAAAGGAAUAGCUCCUGAGUGAUGCAGGACGGGCUGUGUAAUUUACAAAAUGAAAAUACGGAGCCCUUUGUUCAGAAAUUAUCGAGAAGUGCAAGAUGACGACAGCAGAGCAGUAUACCAAACCUGGGCCCUGUGCACGGCCCAGGUCUCGUGCCCAUGAGGCCCGGCCAAAGGGUGCCCUAGCAGCACGGAUGUGUUGGACACAGGAAUGUAGAGCCGUGGGCAUCUGGGAGAGACAAGGACCCCUUACCCCCAAUCCCUGGAAACGUUCCAAGGAAAGUUUGGGUCUCCCAUGGCACUCGGGACAGGGUUCAAGCCCGUUUCAUUUGAAUCUCUAAAAAUAAGAUGACCCCAGCUGACAUGUGGGUUGUAAGUACUUUUAAAAAAUAGCCACUUGUCUUACUAAGCCUUCUUCCCUAAGAGCCUGCAGUUGUUUUAUUUGGCCACACCAUUUUGUCCUGGGCUCUGAGCGUGCUCGGGUGUCACAGCGAAUGACAGGCUGCGGUCUGCAGAACAGAGGGCUGCUGGUUAGCAACCAACGCGCAGCAGGGAUGCCCAGGAGAGGCAGGUGGCCCUGGCACAUCUUGGCAACCAGUGUGGCACCCAGCCCCUCCCAGACAGAGCUCCACUAGCCUUCUCCAAGGAUGGUCUCCACCAACCAGAGGAACCUUAGUUCCUGCGCUUAUCUAGACUCUCCACCCAAGAAUCCACCCAGAGACUCAGAGCCCACAGUGUGUUGGAAUGGCACCCAAGGAUGUACUUGCACUAACAGAACCUCGUCAUGAAGGGGUGUGCAACUCGACUGGGAAGGACGGGCGGGGACUCAGUGAGGAAGGCACAGACGAGGAUUUGCACUCCCCCCUGUUCUCCGCGGGGUUCUCAAUGAGUGAAGGAAUGUUCAUUCAUUCAUUCCGUUAUUUGAAUGCCUAUGGUACACGACGGGGCUGUAUGCCGGCCAUGAUCAAUACAGUAACCGACGAGACAGACCCAGUUCCUACUCUUAAGGCCGGGAGAGGCAAUCAUAAACCAAACAUGAACAACAAAACAUUUUAAAUUUGAUUAAAAUAAUGUAAUGAUUGCUAAAAACAACCACAGCCACAGGUCUGAGUAAACCUGCUCGCAGCUUCCGGGUUUGUAGACAGCCAGCGUGGAUCUCAAAGCAAAGCCCAAUUUAGGACUGAGGUCGGUCUCAGCAGUGAGCUUAGAAGCAGCAAAGCCAGGAGAAGGCUCCAGAGGAGAAGAAGGCAUGUGAUUGCUUUUACUGCUUAUCCAGAUAACCCAGGACAAACUCCUCUCCAGAUCCCUAACUGGAUCACCUCUUUUGUCAUAUAAGGUCAUAUUCACGGGUUCCAGGAACUGGAAGCGACUUCCCAGUGUUCUUCCAAAAGGUUGUAUCAUUCACACGCCCAUCAACAGUGUACGUGCUGUUUCCAGCACCCUCGCCCAACCUGGCAAGGACGCGGUGUGUCAGGGGAAGCAAAUCCUAAAUGAGCUGCGGAGAAACCUGCCAGUAAUUUCAGCAAAUGAAACGUGGGCCGCAGAAAGGCCAGAGGAUGGAAGAUGCUCCGGUUUUGACAAAAGGAGGUCUGCUCAGCUUGGAAUCCUCUCUCCUGUGAGUCAGGAGAUGGAAAGCUAUAUCCAGAGGGGCUGAUGAAUUGAGAGAAAAAGAAACGAGGCCAGUGUGAGUCGCCUUUCAAGGGCUGUGCUAAUAUAAAACCAAACAACUUGAAAUUGUUCCAAGAGGGGAUUAAAGCAACAUGUUAUUUUGAGUGACUGCUUAAUUUAUUGAGCUGCGGCUAGAUCUGUAAUGAAAUACAGCCCUUGCAACUGAUAACCUCCCGCUGCAAUUGAACUUCUGCAAUUAAGGAAUAUUUUCCGAGAGUUUCUCUGGAACAGCUUAGAAUUUUCAGUCUCUGUGGUGGGGUGCUUCUGAGCACUUGUUUUCCAGGCGAGCUUUUGGGUUUUUUUCCUUAAAGAAUGACGGGCUGACGUUAAUAAGGAAAAUAAGCUGCAAUUUACUGAAUGCCUUGUGUGCACCAGAUGCUUAAUAUACAUUACCUCUAAUCCUGACAACAGCCCAAUGAAGUAAUUUUUAUUAGGCCCUGUUUUAUAGACAUGAGGCUCCUAGAUGUUAGGUAAUUUUCCAGAGUGGCAUUGUCCAAGAUGGUAGCUACUGGCCACUUGUGGCUAUUUAUGUGUAAAUUAGUUAAAAUUUUAAAAAUCUAAAUAUUCGCUUCCUAGGUAGCACUAACAACUGGUUCAAGUGCCCUAGCUGUACAUGGCCAGCGGCUAGCACAUUGGACAGCACAGAUACAGGCCAUCUCGAUGACUGUAGAAAGUUCUGUUGACGAGUGCUGUUCCACAGAUCCCACAGGUAGAAAUUGGCAGUGCCAGAGUUCAAAACCAAGCUAACGGGGUCCCAAGGCCACCUAUUCUAGGAUUACCCUCUCUUCCUUCUUCUGCUUUGGCUGAAAAGCAGGGACUAGCAGUGAUUCUGAUCCUGGCUGCACAUUAAAAUUACCUGGAUGCUUUGAAAACAAUAUGAUGUUAGGGUUCAGCCCCAGAGAUCCUGACUUCAUUGUGAUGGUGGGGGUGGGGACAGGCAUGAGGGUUUUUCUGAUUCCCCAUGUGACUCAGAUGUGCAGCCGGAAUCAAGAGCAGCUAGAUGAGAGGAUCCACACACAGGCUGGUGGAAGGAGCUGGUACAUCUGCCAUAGAAUGUGGUCCCUUCAGUACCUGCAAUGGGGCUCCCUCCAGGGCCACUUCUGAACCUCCUCAACAGAGAGCUCAAGUUCAUUUCUGAGGGGAAGACUUAAGCGCCUUGUCACAUGCUUCCUGCUUGAAGGGAGACACGAUGAGGAGCUCUGCCUUUAGAAACAGGCUUUGUCACACUGCCGUGGAAGAAAGGAGAUGAGGAGGUAGGAUCACAAAGGGAAAAACCUCCAGUCCCAAAUCGAACUGGAAGCAUCAGUGUGAACUCAUGCUAUGUUUUGCCUUACGAAAUAAAGCAUGUAUCUCCUAGCUCCGUCCACUGAAAAGGUUAGAAAUAAUGAGCAGUUCAUAGCAUGAGCACCCCCAGCACCCAGAUUAUGGUCUCUAAACGCCACUUCUAACUAGGAAUCAGGGCUCUUUGGAGAUUCAGCGGAUUCUGGGUCUGAGGCAGGAAAUGUGCAAGACGAGCCUGAAACAUCUUGUCACCCAGGUAGCAUGGCAGCUGUCAAAGACUUCUGGGGUCAUGUCAAAAAGGAUGCAGGGGACAGCAGGAAGAGGCUCCCACGGGCCAAAGAUGGGACAGUUUGAGCAUCAAGAAUAAUAAUUGCAGUGGACUGAAACAUGUCAUAUACGUCCAAAUCUAUGAGUUCACACUGUCACUGAGAGAAACAAACCCAUUGAUCAUCUUUGGAGGAUGUUGGGAAACCAACUCAUUAUUAUUAUUAUUAUUUUUUAAAGAUUUUAUUUUUUCCUUUUUCUCCCCAAAGCCCCCCAGUACGUAGUUGUAUAUUCUUCGUUGUGGGUCCUUCUAGUUGUAGCAUGUGGGACGCUGCCUCAGCGUGGUUUGAUGAGCAGUGCCAUGUCCGUGCCCAGGAUUUGAACCAACGAAACACUGGGCCGCCUGCAGCGGAGCGCACAGACUUAACCACUUGGCCACGGGGCCAGCCCCCCAACUCAUUAUUUUGAAAAUUGUCAAUUAAAGGGAGAGAAUCAAGCAUUUAUCCUUUCUUGUAUGAACCAUACCUUACAGUAACCAAACGUUGAAAAGUAAAGUUUCUUUUUAUGGAAGUAUUCCAGCUAACAAACAAGGACAGAAGGAUCGAAUUAGUACGCCACCAUUUUGCAACCCCUAAUGGAUAUAGCCGGUGAGCAUCAGUGGCUGCCGACAUCACAAAGGGACAGCCAGACAUCAAGUGCCUUCAAAUGGAAAUGCAAAACAGCCACUAGGAAGUAGUCAGACAAACACACACACACAAAACAAACGUGAAUCUAAGUGAGCUUCUAGAUCUUACUAUUUACAAGAAAUACAGGGGGGAAAGGGACAUGUGUGACACUAAUAUGGGGCUGCAGUAAGCCAAAUCCAGACUGUAGGACACUCUACAGAACAACCAGCCCAGAGUCUUCAAGUAAGAAAAAGCGAGGGAGGGGCCAGCCUGGUGGCAUAGUGGCUAAGUUCGCUCAUUCCACUUUGGAGGCCCAGGGUUUGCAGGUUCAGAUCCUGGGCGCAGACCUAGCACUGCUCGCCAAACCAUGCUGUGGUGGCAUCCCACAUAAAAUAGAGGAAGAAUGGCACAGAUGUUAGCUCAGCGAUGACCUUCCUCAAGCAGAAAGAGGAAGAUUGGCAAGAGAUGUUAGCUCAGGGCCAACCUUCCUCACAAAAAAAAAAGAAAGAAAAAGAAAAAAGGAAGGAGAGAGAACUUAUAGGUUGAGAGAGAUGUAAGAGACAUAUCAACCAAUUGCAAUGGAUGAACCGUAUAUGGAUCCUGAUUUUAACAAACUGUAAAGAAAACAUUUAUGAGGUAACCAGAGAAAUUUAAACAUUGACUAGAUAUUUGCUGAUGUUAAAGCAUUACUGUUAGUUUUAGUAGGGGUGAUGGUGGUGUAAAAAAUUCCUCCCCCUGGGGCCAGCCCUGAGGCAUAGUGGUUAAUUUCCGUGCACUCUGCUUUGACCGCCCAGGUUCACAGGUUUGGAUCCCAGGCGCAGACCUACACCACUCGUCAGCUGUGCUGUGGCGGUGACCCACGUACAAUAGAGGAAGAUUGGCACAGGUGUUAGCUCAGGGCGAAUCUUCCUCAAGCAAAAAAAAUAAAUAAAUAAAAAUCCCCCCCUCCCUUUUUUUGGAGUCAUACACUAAAAUGCUUGCAAAAAAAAUAAUUGCUGCCUGGAAUUUGCUUCUAAAUAUCUGCGAUGAGGGAGGAGGGGUGGUGAUAGAUGGAACACGAUUGGCCAAGAGUUGGUGAUUGUUGAGGCUGGGGUUCAUUGUACCGUAUACUCUACUCUUGUGUGUGCUUAAAAUUUUUCAUAAUAAAAAUAAAGACCAGCCUUUUCCUUCCCUUCUCUGAAGGGUCUGGGGUUGGUCUGCCCACCCACUGCUGGCAUCUCUGGGGCAAGCCUGGGUAGCAGGUUUCAGAUACAUCUCAUUGCACACACACACACACACCCUCCUGUCUCCACGGCAACCAGUGAGGUGAGAAAGCAGCAUCCAGAAGGCUCCUGUCCACAUGAGGAUCAGGCCAGGCUGCCAGUGUCAUGCCAGGCCCACCAUCGCUGCCCCCUUUGGGAAAUUCCUAAUCGAAUCUUAGGAAUAGAUGGUCCCCUCACCACAUGUGCCUCCUUGCACCCCUUCCCCAUCCCUCUUGCCCUCCCUGUGAAACCCCAACUAGCAGAGGCCAGUUAGUGGCGAGAACAGGACCCUGAAUCAGAUUCAAGCCCAAAUUCUAACUUUACCACUUAACGGCAAGACCUUCAGCCAUCCUGAGCCUCAAUUUUCUCCCGUGUAAAAUGGGCAUGAUGUGACCUCUGCUAAGUCAAUAAAUCUUUAUUACAGUGGCAAAAAGGACCUAGUGUCCACCUCGUGGAAUAGACACUCGGAGGUGAAGGGCCAUCUUAAGAGAGUGUGAGUGCUGUGAUAAAGUACGUAUCAUAAAACUUGAGAUGUAAGGGUGCUUAAUCACAUCCUAAUUUUUUGAAAACUGGCAGUAACUACUUAGGAGAUGUCGUAACUCUCAAUCAUACUUCCUGUUAACCUGAACAUCCACAUUCUCCAACUGCCCAGGAUCCAGCUGUGUCAAAUGCACAGAAUAAUUUCCCUUAACUCAGUGCUCACAUUUCCAUGAGGGGAGUACUAUUAUUCCCAUUUUACGGAGACGGCAGCGAGGCAUGAAGAGGUGAGGGACCUUGCCCGAGGCUGCACUGUGGGUACAUGGUCCUGGCCUCUGUAUUUGGCCCUCUGCACUGAGUAAGCUUUGAAAUGCCGGGGCAUGGCCAGGAAAUCAGAACUGCCAAGAGACCAACAGGCUCUCCAGGUCAAACUAUUUUGCAAACUAGGAAACAGUGGCCCAGAGAGACCAAGUAACUUGUCUUGGGCCACACAGCGAAUCAGCAGCUGAAUCUGUGUCCCAGCUGCUUGGGGAGAAGGUGCAGGGAAGCCCCAUGCCGUGAGGGAGCCUGGCUCUUCUGCCCCAUUUAAUCCUGUCCUAGAGUGAGGUGACCAGCCAUCCUGGGGUUUCCUGGGACCGGGGACUUUGAUGCUAAAACCAAGAAAGUUCUGGGCCAAGCAGGAUGAGUUGGUCACGCUGUCUCAUGAUGAGGCGUCUUAAUGGAUGUUCUCCAGGACAUCAGGCCCUGGGAUGGAGCUGGCUGACGAGAACCAUCAACAAGGCCCCAGAGAAGUGCUGAAGUUUCAUGCCUGUGGUCCCCUGGAGGUACCGUCCACGUGUUAUCUCAGCAGCCUCCGGAGUGGUCCAUCGUCCCACAUCCUUCCUUGUGCCUCUCUAGUCUGUUCUUCCCCCAGCAGCCAGCACGCCCUCUCUGAAUUGCAAAUUGAAUUAUCCCAUGCCCCAUUUUACAAAACCUAAAUGGUUUCUCAUUUUUCCAGUUGCUUUAGGACAAACUCUAAACUUUGCAGGCCCUGGAGGCCCCCUUGUUGGGCUUGCCCGGUUCAGCUGCCCAGCCUCCUCUUGAACCCACCCUACUGCUACGACAUUCCACGCAGGACUGGGAUAGCCAGAGACCUAAUUAUACCCCUCACGCACCCACAUACCCUGUUCCUUCCACAGAAUCGGCGCAAUUGUAAUCACAUAGCUAUUUGUAUAACUAACUGAUUAUUAAUAUCUAGUCUCCCUUACCUUUGGCUGAACUGUCAGCUCACAGGGGCAAGGACCAAUAUGUGAUGCUCAUUUCUGUUUUACAGCCCCUGACUCAGCAGUGACACAUGAAUGAUGCUCCAUAAGUAGUCAUCCCAUGGACCAACCAAUGCCACCGUCACCUCCGACCCGGCCUCCAGCCGAAAUCACAGAAACCCUUUAUAGCCACCCUGACACCCAGUUCCCAUUUCAGACAGGCUGGUAUCCAUGAUGUCACGUGAUAGAAGAUGAUUCCAGAAAAAGACUGGUCAAGAGGCUCCUGGAGGGAGAGAUGGCAGCCAGGAUUGAGAGGUUUUUUUCUUUAUUAUACCUGUUCUGUCCACUAUUUCUUGGCUCUGUUCACAUUGCUGCUCUAGUACCAGCUCAGGGAAAAAACGAAACAAAACAUGAGCCCCAGAAUUUGAGACAAGAUAGCUGGUUGGUUUCCUCUCUGCUUGUAAUUUAAUGCUGGAAAUGUUCAUGACUUGCCUUGGCCGCAAAGGUAAUAAUAAAAGUCUGCAGCCUGAUUAUUUGGCUACUAAUUCCCUUCUUGGUGUUUUUCUUCCCCUUUCCUUAAAUUACUUCCAGAGUUCGUCCAGAUUUCUCGUUGCUAAGCUGUAAAGUUCCGGGCUUCGCAGCGCCCAUGCUGAUUGGCAGGGAGGCCCGGUCAGCUCCAAUCAGAAGCAGGUCGCCGAAAGGAGCAUCCACAACGCAGCUCGCCCCGGGGUUUUGGAAUUUUCUCGCUGACGUUAUGAACCGCAGAGGUCUUUGUCUAACUCUGCAAAACCUGUUCUCUUGAUCUUGUCUGCCUCUCUCUGGAGCGCAGGCUGUUGGGGGACGCCAGAGGUCCUGGAAUUUCCCCCGGAAGGAUGGGGAGUCCCUGGCUCACCGGUUUGGGCUCAGCGACAGAGAUGCCAGGGCCUGCUCGUGGUGGACCAUAGCCAACAGCGUGACGCUCUGCCACAGGCCGGUGAGAUGCCUCAGGCCCCCCAAAACUGACCUCUCCUCUCCCAGGCCAUCUUCUAAGCUUGGUGACUGGAGGAGGCUGAGGCAAAGGGGAUGCCACUGAAAGUGGGAUGGUUGGGGUGGAGACCACGUUUGUAAAGGACGUUAAAACACACAUGGAUGGUAGGGGCACGGUGGAGGGCCAUUCUGUGUUCCACCUCUAGAACCCCAAUGCAAAGAACCACUAUGAACUGAAACUUAUUUUUUAGACCACUCUAUUGAGGUACGACUGACUUACAAAAAGCUGUAUGUAUUUAGUGUCUACUACUUGAUGAGUUUGACAAUGAGUAGACACCCAGGAAACCAUCACCACGAUCUAUGCCAUAAACAUAGCCAUCACCUCCAGGAGUUUUCACCUGCCAUCUUUAUGAUUUUUAUUUUUGAUGAUAAGAACAUUUCACAUAAGAUCUACCCUUUUAACCAAAUGAGUAUAUGAUGCAGUGUUGUUAAUUAUCAUCACCAUGCUGAGUGUUAGAUCUCCAGCACUUAUUCAUCGGGUAUAAUUGAAACUUUGCACCCCUUGACCAAUAUCUCUGCCUUUCUCCCUCCUCCCAGCCCCUGGCAGUCCCCAUUCUACUCUCUGCUUCUACGAGUGUGACUAGUUUAGAUUCCUCAUAUAAAUGGACUCAUGUAGUAUUUGUCCUUCUGUGACUGGCUUAUUUCACUUAGCAUCAUGUCCUCCAGCUUCAGCCAUGUGUCCACGGAUGACACGAUUUCCUUCUUUUCUAAGACUGAGUAGUAUUUCAUUGUGUGUAUAAACCACAUUUUCUUUAUCCAUUCAUCCACCGAUGGACACUUAGGUUGCUACCAUGUCUUGGCUAUUGUGCCAGAAAUUGUACACACACAUCUGCUCCCAUCUCAAAACACCCAUUGGACAGACUGAGAAUGUGAUGGGCGUCUGCUGGUUUUGCUGCUGCUGCUUCCCUCUUUCACUAACGGAGAAGGCCUGCCACAGGGCAAGUCAUGUGACCCAGGCCUGGUCACAGUGAUUGGCUCUGGGGUGGGCACAUGAACAAGCUGGGCCAAUCAGAAUCUUCCUUGAGACUUUACUACCAGAACUAUAGGAAAAGUCUCCCUUCCUGCCCCUGGAUUUGCUGAGCUGGCGACCACAAUGAACACACGUGGAAGGUGACUGAGGGAGAUAUGAAGUCCCUGCAACAAGGCUUGAGCCCCAGGUGCAGCCCAGCCUUAGGGGAAGUCAGAUCCACUCCCUGGAUUUUAGUUACAGGAACAGUAAGUGCUUUGUUUAAGCCAAUUUGCCUGUGUGUCUGUUGCUUCUAACUGGCAGAGUGUAAUACAGACAUGCACUUUCUCGUUGCCGUGCGUGGCUCUGGGUUAGGCAAUUUGCAUAUAGUCCCACACAGGGGCCUCCUUAUCACCUGGUGUGGUAUUCCACUUUGCAGAUGGGGAAACUGAGGCUCAGAAGGGUGACUGCCCAGAUAAUACUGCCAGUGUGUGUUCAGGCAUUCAAACCUGGGCCGUCUAAUUGCUGGAUUCCUUGGUGGCCCCUCAAAUUCAACUUGUCCAAAACUGAAUUCAAGAGCCUCCCCUCUAGGGUCCUUCCCUCCGGGGUCCCGCAUCCUAGGGGUAGCCCCUCCCACAAACUAGUGGUGCUAACCAGAAACCAGGUGUCACCCCUGAGCCCUCCGCGCCCCUCACUCCCACAUCCAAGCCUCACUAAGUCCUGCCUGUCGACCCCCUCCGCAGCCCCAGAAGCAGUUUACUUCUCUCCCUGUCCACCUCUCCACCCCUGCCCAGCUGCCCUCAUCUCUCAAAACUUUGACCUUCGAGAACUGCCUGCCACCUGGUCCUCGCAUGUCUAUUCUUACCCCUCUACUCCGAUAGGGCUCCCCUUGGCGACCAGAGGAGUUGUCUCAAAAUGCCAAGCUGACCUCAUUGCCUUGCUGGAGGAGGCUGGGUGAUGAUCUGAUGGAACACGUUUGCCUCCGGGGAUGUUCUGAGAAUCGUGCAACCCCUUGGUCCCACCCGAUAUUCAGGCACAAAGUCAGCAAGCCUGGGAGCUGGGGAGCACGCAGCUCCCUGCAUCCGCAGCUGUCCCAUCGUUUAUUCCACAAAGAGUUUCUAGUGCCUCACAGGCACUGUCCCCUCUGCUGGGGCUCCAGAGGUGACCAACAGCAACCUGAGCGAAACUCACAGUGUGCUCGCCGCGGACCGGGUCCUGCACUCCGCGCUUCUCGCCCAUCCACUCGCUUGCUCCUCCAGCAGCCCCACAAAGCAGUGACUGUUAUUAAUCCCAUUUUAUAGAUGAGAAGGAAAAGGUGCCAGUUCUCAUGAAGCUUAUAUGCUUGUGAGGGAGAUCGACAAAAACAAGUUACACACACACAUGCACACACGCAGGCAUGCACAGACGUGACAUAAUUCAGAAAGUGAUGGACCAAGGGUGAUUCUUGGACUCAGUCCAGAGGCUUCCAGAUGCCUCCUUCUCAACUUGUAGCCUGUAACCUGUGCCAGGCCCAGGGCAAGAGUAGAAAUGGAAAGCUACCUACUGUAGGUCUACAGAUUUAAAAGUCAUAAAUCAGGUACAGGCACCCAGCCCCAAAGUUCAAGUUCUGUCCUGAGCCCCCCC
rnacentral:lncRNA from 1 species